rnacentral:rRNA from 1 species
UAAGGAAUAUUGGACAAUGGGCGCAAGCCUGAUCCAGCCAUGCCGCGUGAAGGAUUAAGGUCCUCUGGAUUGUAAACUUCUUUUAUAAGGGACGAAAAAAGGGAAUUCUUUCUCACUUGACGGUACCUUAUGAAUAAGCACCGGCUAACUCCGUGCCAGCAGCCGCGGUAAUACGGAGGGUGCAAGCGUUAUCCGGAUUCACUGGGUUUAAAGGGUGCGUAGGCGGGUAUUUAAGUCAGUGGUGAAAUCCUAGAGCUUAACUCUAGAACUGCCAUUGAUACUAUUUAUCUUGAAUAUUGUGGAGGUAAGCGGAAUAUGUCAUGUAGCGGUGAAAUGCUUAGAUAUGACAUAGAACACCUAUUGCGAAGGCAGCUUACUGCGCAUAUAUUGACGCUGAGGCACGAAAGCGUGGGGAUCAAACAGG